UGGGGAAUUUUGGACAAUGGGCGAAAGCCUGAUCCAGCAAUGCCGCGUGUGUGAAGAAGGCCUUCGGGUUGUAAAGCACUUUUGUCCGGAAAGAAAUCCUUGGCUCUAAUACAGUCGGGGGAUGACGGUACCGGAAGAAUAAGCACCGGCUAACUACGUGCCAGCAGCCGCGGUAAUACGUAGGGUGCAAGCGUUAAUCGGAAUUACUGGGCGUAAAGCGUGCGCAGGCGGUUUGCUAAGACCGAUGUGAAAUCCCCGGGCUCAACCUGGGAACUGCAUUGGUGACUGGCAGGCUAGAGUAUGGCAGAGGGGGGUAGAAUUCCACGUGUAGCAGUGAAAUGCGUAGAGAUGCGGAGGAAUACCGAUGGCGAAGGCAGCCCCCUGGGCCAAUACUGACGCUCAUGCACGAAAGCGUGGGGAGCAAACAGGAUUAGAUACCCUGGUAGUCCACGCCCUAAACGAUGUCAACUAGUUGUUGGGGAUUCAUUUCCUUAGUAACGUAGCUAACGCGUGAAGUUGACCGCCUGGGGAGUACGGUCGCAAGAUUAAAACUCAAAGGAAUUGACGGGG
rnacentral:rRNA from 1 species